rnacentral:rRNA from 1 species
UACAGAGGGUGCGAACGUUGCUCGGAAUUACUGGGCGUAAAGCGCAUGUAGGCGGAUCCAUAAGUCGGGCGUGAAAUCCCCAGGCUCAACCUGGGAACUGCGUUCGAAACUGUGGGUCUAGAGUGUCGGAGAGGAUGGCGGAAUUCCUGGUGUAGAGGUGAAAUUCGUAGAUAUGGGGAGGAAGCACCGGUGGCGAAGGCGGCCACCUGGACGGUCACUGACGCUGAGACGCGAAAGCGUGGGAGCAA